GACGAACCGUGCGAACGUUGUUCGGAAUCACUGGGCUUAAAGGGCGCGUAGGCGGACUCGCCAGUCCGCGGUGAAAGCCCCCGGCUUAACCGGGGAAGUGCCGUGGAUACUGCGAGUCUGGAGGAGGGUAGGGGCAUCUGGAACGCUGGGUGGAGCGGUGAAAUGCGUUGAUAUCCAGCGGAACUCCGGUGGCGAAGGCGAGGUGCUGGACCCUUUCUGACGCUGAGGCGCGAAAGCCAGGGGAGCAAACGGG
rnacentral:rRNA from 1 species